rnacentral:rRNA from 1 species
AUUGAACGCUGGCGGCAGGCUUAACACAUGCAAGUCGAGCGGGGAAAGUAGCCUGCUACUGGACCUAGCGGCGGACGGGUGAGUAAUGCUUAGGAAUCUGCCUAUUAGUGGGGGACAACAUCUCGAAAGGGAUGCUAAUACCGCAUACGUCCUACGGGAGAAAGCAGGGGAUCUUCGGACCUUGCGCUAAUAGAUGAGCCUAGGUCGGAUUAGCUAGUUGGUGGGGUAAAGGCCUACCAAGGCGACGAUCUGUAGCGGGUCUGAGAGGAUGAUCGGCCACACGGGGACUGAGACACGGCCCAGACUCCUACGGGGGGCAGCAGUGGGGAAUAUUGGACAAUGGGGGGAACCCUGAUCCAGCCAUGCCGCGUGUGUGAAGAAGGCCUUAUGGUUGUAAAGCACUUUAAGCGAGGAGGAGGCUACUCUAGUUAAUACCUAGGGAUAGUGGACGUUACUCGCAGAAUAAGCACCGGCUAACUCUGUGCCAGCAGCCGCCGUAA